rnacentral:miRNA from 1 species
UAUCUCACCCUUCUCUGCCUGU